AAGAAACUCAACCCAAAUCACAUGUAAAAGUAGCUGCCAUGAGAAACUGGUCUCGCGAGAAGAAACACCACGUCCCACCUCCUCUCCCCUUCCGGCUGCCCCGCCUCCCCAUCGCCGGUCGUCCUGCCUCCUCCCACCGCCGGCCGACCCACCUCCUCCCCACCUCCGGCCGCCCCGACUAGCUCCUCUCCACCUCCGGCCGCCCCUCCUCCUCUCCAACUCCAGCCGCGCGCCCCGCCUCCUCCCCGCCGCCGUCUCCCCACCGCCGGCCGGCCCGCCUCCUCCCCGACUCCUGCCCACCUCCGGCCGCCCCGCCCCACCUCCUCUCCCCUGCGCCGCCACCCCUCCCUAUGUCCCGAACGCCAGCGAACACGGCGUCCCUGCGUCGCCCACUGCUAUCCCCUCCUCUCCUCUCGAGCCCCCCUCCACGCGUGCAGUGAUGGCCUGUCAAACCAGGAUUCAAACCAUACGAUAGUUUUUAUGGAAUCCUAAAGAAAAAUACCUCAUGAAAAAUACCAUGUAUUUCUGUCACAACUAUGGCUAGCACCCGAUCAUUCAAGGAAGCUAUUGUACUCAGGUGUUUUUAUGUAGUUCAAUCAAACAGAUUUUAUUGUAUAUUCAUAUUUUGAAUUCAUGUAGCAUGAUAUUCAAUUCUUAUGUUUUCUCCAUCCAUAUUUUUUUUAA